UGAGAGUUCAAGAGGGCGUGAAACCGCUUAGAAGCAAACAGAUGGAACUGAUGAAGAGUCGGUGUUAUUCACCUGCUGCGUCCACCUCAGCCCUGCGUCAGACGUCAAUGCUGGCUGCGGGUGUCUGGUGUGGCCAGCGGGUGCAUUUUCACCGAUGCGCACUGGAAGCUGUGCUUGCGCUGGAGGAAGGCGCGGAAUGCCGGCCAAAUAUGUUGGUGUCCCUUCUGCGCCGGAAGCCGGGUCGCGAGUACGGUCUUGAUGGGAAAGGAACACCCGCCUUUACUCGUGGCUGCCGUGUGCCUGGCUCAGUCGGAAGUUGGUUGCUUGCAACUCUCGGCCGGCUGCGGCUUUGCACCUGGUGGCUUUCGAGUCGGUGUUAUUCCGGUGUUUGUGUCAGCCACCCAUCUGACCCGUCUUGAAACACGGACCAAGGAGUCUAACAUGUGCGCGAGUCAUUGGGUGUUCAAACCCACAGGCGCAAUGAAAGUGAAGUCUAGUUCGGCUUGGACGAUAUGGGAUCCUUCGCUUCUGGCGGAGGCGCACCAUAGUCCCGUCUGAUCUGCUUGUCAGAUGGGCGGAGAUAGAGCGUACAUGCUGGGACCCGAAAGAUGGUGAACUAUGCCUGAGCAGGAUGAAGCCAGAGGAAACUCUGGUGGAGGUCCGUAGCGAUUCUGACGUGCA
rnacentral:rRNA from 1 species